UGUUGCUUCAUAUGAUCUAAAGUACUUAAAAGUCUUAAGUACUAGAUUAUGAAGCAGCAGA
rnacentral:pre_miRNA from 1 species